UUAAGCGACUAAGCGUACACGGUGGAUGCCCUGGCAGUCAGAGGCGAUGAAGGACGUGCUAAUCUGCGAUAAGCGUCGGUAAGGUGAUAUGAACCGUUAUAACCGGCGAUUUCCGAAUGGGGAAACCCAGUGUGWUUCGWCACACUAUCAUUAACUGAAUCCAUAGGUUAAUGAGGCGAACCGGGGGAACUGAAACAUCUAAGUACCCCGAGGAAAAGAAAUCAACCGAGAUUCCCCCAGUAGCGGCGAGCGAACGGGGAGCAGCCCAGAGCCUGAAUCAGUGUGUGUGUUAGUGGAAGCGUCUGGAAAGGCGUGCGAUACAGGGUGACAGCCCCGUACACAAAAAUGCACAUGCUGUGAGCUCGAUGAGUAGGGCGGGACACGUGGUAUCCUGUCUGAAUAUGGGGGGACCAUCCUCCAAGGCUAAAUACUCCUGACUGACCGAUAGUGAACCAGUACCGUGAGGGAAAGGCGAAAAGAACCCCGGCGAGGGGAGUGAAAAAGAACCUGAAACCGUGUACGUACAAGCAGUGGGAGCACGCUUAGGCGUGUGACUGCGUACCUUUUGUAUAAUGGGUCAGCGACUUAUAUUCUGUAGCAAGGUUAACCGAAUAGGGGAGCCGAAGGGAAACCGAGUCUUAACUGGGCGUUAAGUUGCAGGGUAUAGACCCGAAACCCGGUGAUCUAGCCAUGGGCAGGUUGAAGGUUGGGUAACACUAACUGGAGGACCGAACCGACUAAUGUUGAAAAAUUAGCGGAUGACUUGUGGCUGGGGGUGAAAGGCCAAUCAAACCGGGAGAUAGCUGGUUCUCCCCGAAAGCUAUUUAGGUAGCGCCUCGUGAAUUCAUGUUAUCACGGGAGACACACGGCGGGUGCUAACGUCCGUCGUGAAGAGGGAAACAACCCAGACCGCCAGCUAAGGUCCCAAAGUCAUGGUUAAGUGGGAAACGAUGUGGGAAGGCCCAGACAGCCAGGAUGUUGGCUUAGAAGCAGCCAUCAUUUAAAGAAAGCGUAAUAGCUCACUGGUCGAGUCGGCCUGCGCGGAAGAUGUAACGGGGCUAAACCAUGCACCGAAGCUGCGGCAGCGACACUGUGUGUUGUUGGGUAGGGGAGCGUUCUGUAAGCCUGCGAAGGUGUGCUGUGAGGCAUGCUGGAGGUAUCAGAAGUGCGAAUGCUGACAUAAGUAACGAUAAAGCGGGUGAAAAGCCCGCUCGCCGGAAGACCAAGGGUUCCUGUCCAACGUUAAUCGGGGCAGGGUGAGUCGACCCCUAAGGCGAGGCCGAAAGGCGUAGUCGAUGGGAAACAGGUUAAUAUUCCUGUACUUGGUGUUACUGCGAAGGGGGGACGGAGAAGGCUAUGUUGGCCGGGCGACGGUUGUCCCGGUUUAAGCGUGUAGGCUGGUUUUCCAGGCAAAUCCGGAAAAUCAAGGCUGAGGCGUGAUGACGAGGCACUACGGUGCUGAAGCAACAAAUGCCCUGCUUCCAGGAAAAGCCUCUAAGCAUCAGGUAACAUCAAAUCGUACCCCAAACCGACACAGGUGGUCAGGUAGAGAAUACCAAGGCGCUUGAGAGAACUCGGGUGAAGGAACUAGGCAAAAUGGUGCCGUAACUUCGGGAGAAGGCACGCUGAUAUGUAGGUGAAGUCCCUCGCGGAUGGAGCUGAAAUCAGUCGAAGAUACCAGCUGGCUGCAACUGUUUAUUAAAAACACAGCACUGUGCAAACACGAAAGUGGACGUAUACGGUGUGACGCCUGCCCGGUGCCGGAAGGUUAAUUGAUGGGGUCAGCGCAAGCGAAGCUCUUGAUCGAAGCCCCGGUAAACGGCGGCCGUAACUAUAACGGUCCUAAGGUAGCGAAAUUCCUUGUCGGGUAAGUUCCGACCUGCACGAAUGGCGUAAUGAUGGCCAGGCUGUCUCCACCCGAGACUCAGUGAAAUUGAACUCGCUGUGAAGAUGCAGUGUACCCGCGGCAAGACGGAAAGACCCCGUGAACCUUUACUAUAGCUUGACACUGAACAUUGAGCCUUGAUGUGUAGGAUAGGUGGGAGGCUUUGAAGUGUGGACGCCAGUCUGCAUGGAGCCGGCCUUGAAAUACCACCCUUUAAUGUUUGAUGUUCUAACGUUGACCCGUGAUCCGGGUUGCGGACAGUGUCUGGUGGGUAGUUUGACUGGGGCGGUCUCCUCCUAAAGAGUAACGGAGGAGCACGAAGGUUGGCUAAUCCUGGUCGGACAUCAGGAGGUUAGUGCAAUGGCAUAAGCCAGCUUGACUGCGAGCGUGACGGCGCGAGCAGGUGCGAAAGCAGGUCAUAGUGAUCCGGUGGUUCUGAAUGGAAGGGCCAUCGCUCAACGGAUAAAAGGUACUCCGGGGAUAACAGGCUGAUACCGCCCAAGAGUUCAUAUCGACGGCGGUGUUUGGCACCUCGAUGUCGGCUCAUCACAUCCUGGGGCUGAAGUAGGUCCCAAGGGUAUGGCUGUUCGCCAUUUAAAGUGGUACGCGAGCUGGGUUUAGAACGUCGUGAGACAGUUCGGUCCCUAUCUGCCGUGGGCGCUGGAGAACUGAGGGGGGCUGCUCCUAGUACGAGAGGACCGGAGUGGACGCAUCACUGGUGUUCGGGUUGUCAUGCCAAUGGCACUGCCCGGUAGCUAAAUGCGGAAGAGAUAAGUGCUGAAAGCAUCUAAGCACGAAACUUGCCCCGAGAUGAGUUCUCCCUGACUCCUUGAGAGUCCUGAAGGAACGUUGAAGACGACGACGUUGAUAGGCCGGGUGUGUAAGCGCAGCGAUGCGUUGAGCUAACCGGUACUAAUGAACCGUGAGGCUUAACCUU
rnacentral:rRNA from 1 species